GAGACGGACAGACAGAGAGACGGACAGACAGAGAGACGGACAGACAGAGAGACGGACAGACAGAGAGACGGACAGACAGAGAGACGGACAGUCGGAGAGACAGAGAGACGGACAGACAGACAGAGAGACGGACAGAGAGACGGACAGAGAGACGGACAGACAGACAGAGAGACGGACAGACAGAGAGACGGACAGACAGAGAGACGGACAGACAGAGAGACGGAGAGACAGAGAGACGGACAGACAGAGAGACGGACAGACAGAGAGACGGACAGACAGAGAGACGGACAGACAGAGAGACGGACAGUCGGAGAGACAGAGAGACGGACAGACAGACAGAGAGACGGACAGACAGACAGAGAGACGGACAGAGAGACGGACAGACAGAGAGACGGACAGACAGACAGAGAGACAGACAGACGGACAGAGAGACAGACAGAGAGACGGACAGACGGACAGAGAGACGGACAGACAGACAGAGACAGACAGACAGACAGACGGACAGACAGAGAGACGGACAGACAGACAGACAGAAAGACGGACAGACAGUGAGACGGACAGACAGAGACGGACGGACAGACACAGACAGUGAGACGGACAGACAGACAGACUAGUAGUACUAAUGAG
ensembl:lncRNA